rnacentral:lncRNA from 1 species
GCCGCUAUAAGAAAGGCCAAAAAGUAGAGAAGAAAAAAGAAGAAGAAAUUGCACUAUUUAAGACUAAGUUGCACUAUUGGGGAUAAUUCCAUUUAAAAAUAUUCGAGACUAAGUUGCACCAUAGAAAUAAAAAAUUAUACAAUUUGAGACUAAAUUGUACUGUUUGAGGCUAUGCUGCACCAUUUGAAACUAUUUGAGACUAAGUUCCACUACUAAAAAUAGAAACUGCAGUGUUUAAGAUUAAGUUACACUGUUUGAGAUUAAGUUACAUUAGUUAUGUAACUUCUAAACAAUGUAACUUAGUCUGAAACAGUGCAACUCCU